UUUGCUGUUUAUUCUCCUCUGGCUUUGAUUGACUAUCCAUAUAUAUAAAUCAUGAUGCUUUUUAUUUUCUAAUGGAAGGCUUUUAUUUGGUUUUGUGAAUAGUUAUUUUGUUUCCAAUGCAUUUCUAGCAAUCAAUUAUUGAAAAGACUGUCCUUGCUGCAGUGUAUGUUUUUGGUACUUUGUCAAAAAUGAAUUGACUGUAAAUGUGUGGAUUGAUUUGUAGGUUAUCUAUUAUGUUCUAUGUGUCUGUUUUUAUGGCAGUACCAUGCUGAUUUUAAUACUAUAGCUUUGUAGUAUAAUUUGAAGUCAGAUACUGUGCUUCUUCCAGCUUUGUUCUCUUUGUUCAGAAUUGUUGUAGGUAUUCCAGGUCGUUUGUGGUUCCAUAUACAUUUUAGAAUUUUUUUUUAUUUCUGUGAAGAAUUUCAUUAGUACUUUGACACAUACUGUAUUGAAUCUGUAGAUAAUGUUAGGCAGUAUAGACAUCUUAAUAAUAUUGAUUUUUCUAAUUCAUGAUUAUGAAAUAUCUUUCCAUUUUUGUGUCUUCAAUUUACUCCCUUGAUGUUUUAUAGCAUUUUUAUCAACAAAAAUUGUGUAUGUUUAUAAUAUACAGCAUGAUGUUUUGAAAUAUGUAUAUAUUGUAGAAUGGGUAAAUCGAGCUAACUAACAUAUGUAUUCCCUCAUAUGUAUAUAUAUUUGUGUGUGUGUGUAUGGCGAGAACACAUAAAAUCUAUUUUCAAGUUAUUUACAUGUGGGUGGAUUAUCGUUGUACAUUGGCUUAUAACUUAAUUUGUUGUUAAGUGACAAAAGUGGAUGGAUAGUAUGCUUCCUUUUAUGUGGAAGAGGGAACUUGGGGAGCUUAGG
rnacentral:lncRNA from 10 species